ACCCGCACAAGCAGCGGAGCGUGUGGUUUAAUUCGUUGCUACACGAAGAACCUUACCUGGUUUGACAUAUAGGUUGUAGGGAACUGAAAAGGGACCGACCUUCGGGAGCCUAUACGGGUGUUGCAUGGCUGUCGUCAGCUCGUGUCGUGAGAUGUUCGGUUAAGUCCGCUAACGAGCGCAACCCUCGUCGUAUGUUAUAUGUGUCAUACGAGACUGCCGGUAAAAAGCCGGAGGAAGGUGAGGAUGAUGUCAAGUCAGCAUGACCUUUAUAUCCAGGGCUACACACACGCUACAAUGGUCUGUACAAUGGGUAGCCAAGCCGCGAGGCGGAGCCAAUCCUGAAAGCAGGCCUCAGUUCAGAUUGCAGUCUGCAACUCGACUGCAUGAAGCCGGAGUUGCUAGUAACCGCAGGUCAGCAAUACUGCGGUGAAUACGUUCCCGGGUCUU
rnacentral:rRNA from 1 species